UUCAUUUUUACAUGACUUUUCCAGUCUUUCAUGAUUUACUAGAUAAGGAUUUUUUUUUUUUUCACCAGAGGGCACCAUACCUUUGCCACUCAAUCCUGGACUGCAUUUCCCAUAACCCAUUGCCCGGAAUCAUCAUGCCUGAUUGUUUUCACCAGUUGCUCCUUACCUCUGCCUAUAUAAGCCUUGUGUUUAAUGUCACAUUGUGAAGACUUGCCAGUUGUUAAUUUGCAAUUCUGGUUUUAUGUCUCUCGGUUUUUGGAUUUCUUGUCUGUCCCUUGGACUACCCUUUUACCAGAGUUACCUGCCUUGUUGCAAACUGUUUAGGCUGAUAGAAGACCUUUAAUGUUGGGGGCAGUCGUGGCCUAAUGUAUAGAGAGCUGGACUUGUAACUCAAAGGUCAUGGUUUUGAUUCUUAGGUCCGGGAGGGAUUGUACGUAGGUGGGGGGAGUGAAUUUCCAGUGCUCUCUCCUCCUUUAAAACUAUGACUGAGGUGAGACCUUGAGCAAGGCACCGAACCCCCAACUGCUUGCCGCAGCGAUAUGGCUUCCCACUGCUGCAGUUCAAGGGAAUAGACAGACAGUGGAGAACUUCUCUCUGCUGGGAGUGGAGAGAUUGGUCUACACAUAAGAACCUGUGAAAACACAUAAAAGCUUCUUACAACAAUGUCCAGAACACUCUUCAGCCUCCAGCUGCAAGAGGAAUUUUUCUUGGCCAAUAAACCUCAUGUUGUCUUUAUGAGGAUGGGCCAUUUACAGGUACAUUACUUCCUGUUUUGUCUGGAAAAUCUUUACUAAACCUUCAGAAACAUUCCACAGGAAUGUGGGUCUAGGUAAAAUGUUGAGACUACAACAACUGCAUUCUGUACAAAACCAGAAUGGCUUAUUAAAGAUCCAUUGGAUGUA